rnacentral:tRNA from 1 species
CCCUGGGUGGUACAACAGUCAAUGUGCUUGGCUGCUAACCAAAAUGUUGGUGGAUCGAGUCCACCCAGAGGCA